CUGAAUCAAUUUAUUAUAUGAAAGUGAGGCAUGGACAUAAAAGAGUCAAUAUAAACCAAGUUAAAGUGACUACAUUUAUAAACUACACUUGUACCUUUCUUGGAAACAAUGUCAGGUCUUUAUCCUCAAUGAUGUCUCUCAUGUAACGCAUAACAAAGUACCCGCACUCCUUAUUAGUGGGUUGGGGAGGAAUACCCUAAAAACAAAUGAUGUGUAAACAAGUCGAAAAAUGAACCAAAUCCAGUAUUUUCAAGACAAAAAUAUACUUAGGUGCAUGAAACUUACGGCCAAAUUUUUCCACAAGACUGAACUCCGACCUUUCUUCUGCCUUUCAGCAUUGAACAUAGCUAUUGCACUAUACCAGAACAAGAAAAUUAAGACUUCAGAAAAACUAAAGAAGGCAACAAUUAUUUUUAAAUAGAUUUAAUGAUCUCAAUAUGUAUGAUCAAUACAAGUGACUUACGAUUCCACAAUCUUCAUCCAAUCUCCGGUGGGCAAGCGUCUUUUAAGAGGAUCCAUAAAAUAGGCAGUGCUUUGGUCUGGAUCGAUAAUUGUCAACAUCCAGUGAUCACUACAUACAUAAAGUAUAUAUGUUGAACAGAGCUAAAAUUAAUUGCAAAGAAUAAACGAAAAAAAAAACCUUCAUGGACUUACCCCGAGUUGAAUGGCAACAUGAACAUCUGUCCAGGUUUUGCAGUUACAAGCCUAUCUCUAAUGUGUUUGGCCCUAACAGUUCCAGUUCCAGACCCUUUUGCACCAAUCAGUGAAGGAUCAACAAAUGCAACCAUGUCCACCAUUUUAUAAGCAACCAUCUGCUCAUAGAGUUCCAGAAACUUCCCUCAUGCUUGCAAGUCGUCGAACAUCUGAUCCCAUUAUAAAGGUCUUGCGAGAGAAUCCAAAGACUUCAGGUUCUAUGUGUAAGCUGAUGGUACGUCCAUCUCUGAAUUUGUCCUCACCCCAUUGGCAUAACAUCUUCAAUGAUUCUGGUAAUUUAGAUGCCAUUGAUGCCAUGCUAAAUUGAACCUCUGAGUCUUGUUCCUCUAUCUCCUUCUUUUUCCUCUUCUUCUCAGCAUUAUCCAAGACAGGUUUCUAGAACAAAUAUAAAUGCAAGGGAAUGGGACCUUUGCUUUUUCCUCAAUCGCCUCAUAGAUGGAAACACGCAUAUUGCCAUCGCCGAGUGGAGCUCCAUGAAUAACUUGGGAGCUAUCAUGACACUCCAUAACAGUGGCAUAGGCCACAAUAUGGUCAACAGAACCUAAUGCCAACUGGCAUUUAAUCUCAGCACUAGGUGACUGAAAAGAAGAAAAAAAAAUAUUAGACUUUGUGCCUAUAUCUUUGAAUUUAUAACAGAUCCUAACGUAAUGAAACAACCAUAUCAAUCCUACCAUUAUUGGUGUAAAGUGGAACUAACUUACCUUUUUUGAAGCGGAAAGCAAUGUCAAAUCCACAAAUUCUGCUCCAUCCUGAAGCUCUAGCUCCUUAGGUACAGCAUUGUCUUCCAAAGUCUCUUUAACAGUCUCUCUCACAUGCUUAUCCAAUGCAGGCUGGACAACUACUUUGUCAACCAUGUUUGUCAACUCAGUAGGGUCCUUGGAGCAUGGCGAUACAUCCAAAAGGCCUUCCUUCACGACCUUUGAUCCCUUCUUUGUACGAUGCAUGGUCUUUUGUUCAAUAAGAUCAAAAGCUCCUAUCACUACCUUGAAACCAACAUGGUCC